ncrna:unclassified sequences RAGATH-18 RNA
CCUAUUGAGUGUUAUAUCAAAUGAUAGUAGAAGUAAGGCUUGCUUCGCUUUGAGGUCAGACACAGUGAUGUAGGAA